CUUAUACUCAAACUAACCUUAGACUUCAUCACUUUACUUUCUACUUUGCUUUCGUCAUAACUACUAGGGCCACCAAAGUAAUUGGCCAUUAUAAACGUAAAUAUGAGUCGUAAUUACUGCUUGAACAAACGACUCAUGGGGGCGUUUUUCGGGGAAGGAAACUCUCGCUUUUUUUUCUGUGUUCACACUUUUUUUUCUUUGGUGUGAAUGAUGCUGAAGCUGUUUGGCAACAAGAAGUAGUGACAUGUAAAACCUGAGAAAUUGCUUUUAAAUCCUAAGCAUCAAAGCAUUACAUAUUCAUGACUAAAUAUGCAACA